GUGUCAGCAGCCGCGGUAAUACGUAAGGAGCGAGCGUUGUCCGGAUUUACUGGGCGUAAAGCGCAUGCAGGCGGCCUUGUAAGUCGGAUGUGAAAUCUCCCGGCUCAACUGGGAGGCGUCAUUCGAUACUGCAAGGCUUGAGGGCAGGAGAGGGGAGUGGAAUUCCCGGUGUAGUGGUGAAAUGCGUAGAUAUCGGGAGGAACACCAGUGGCGAAGGCGGCUCCCUGGCCUGUACCUGACGCUAAGAUGCGAAAGCGUGGGGAGCGAACGGGAUUAGAAACCCCGGUAGUCCACGCCGUAAACGAUGCGGACUAGGUGUGGGAGGUAUUGACCCCUUCCGUGCCGUAGCUAACGCGUUAAGUCCGCCGCCUGGGGACUACGGCCGCAAGGCUGAAACUUAAAGGAAUUGACGGGG
rnacentral:rRNA from 1 species